GCCUUACACAUGCAAGUCGACGGCAGCGACGGGGCAACCGUGGUGGCGAGUGGCGAACGGGUGAAGUAAAGCAUCGGAACGUGCCCUGGAGGUGGGGGAUAACGUAGCGAAAGUUACGCUAAUACCGCAUAUUCUGUGAGCAGGAAAGCAGGGGGAUCGCAAGACCUUGCGCUCUGGGGAGCGGCCGAUGUCGGAUUAGCUAGUUGGUGGGGUAAAGGCCUACCAAGGCGACGAUCCGUAGCGGGGUCUGAGAGGAUGAUCCGCCACACUGGGACUGAGACACGGCCCAGACUCCUACGGGAGGCAGCAGUGGGGAAUUUUGGACAAUGGGCGGAAGCCUGAUCCAGCCAUGCCGCGUGAGUGAAGAAGGCCUUCGGGUUGUAAAGCUCUUUCGGCCGGGAAGAAAUCGCAUGGGUCAAUACCCUGUGUGGAUGACGGUACCGGAAUAAGAAGCACCGGCUAACUACGUGCCAGCAGCCGCGGUAAUACGUAGGGUGCGAGCGUUAAUCGGAAUUACUGGGC
rnacentral:rRNA from 1 species